GACGAACGCUGGCGGCGUGCUUAACACAUGCAAGUCGAACGGUGAAGCGCCUUCCUUUUUGGUGGGUGUGGAUGAGUGGCGAACGGGUGAGUAACACGUGAGUAACCUGCCCCCUUCUUCUGGAUAACCGCAUGAAAGUGUUGCUAAUACGGGAUAUUCUGGUUCUGUCGCAUGAUGGGUCUGGGAAAGAUAUUGUUUCGGUGGGGGAUGGGCUCGCGGCCUAUCAGCUUGUUGGUGGGGUGAUGGCCUACCAAGGCGGUGACGGGUAGCCGGCCUGAGAGGGUGGACGGUCACACUGGGACUGAGACACGGCCCAGACUCCUACGGGAGGCAGCAGUGGGGAAUAUUGCACAAUGGGCGCAAGCCUGAUGCAGCGACGCCGCGUGAGGGAUGGAGGCCUUCGGGUUGUGAACCUCUUUCGCCAGUGAAGCAGGCCUGCCUCGUUUGUGGGUGGGUUGACGGUAGCUGGAGAAGAAGCGCCGGCUAACUACGUG
rnacentral:rRNA from 1 species